UUCUCUCCUUUUAGCAUAAAUGUUGUAACUUUUUGGUUUUAAUCCUCGUGGGUUUUGUCGCUUCGUUACUCUAAACAAAGGAAUCACGACCUUUGUUGAUGAAAUUUCGUUCAGGUAAGGGCUUAAACAUGUUGGAGAUGGAUAUGGUAGAGAGGUUAAACACUGACCAGAGUGUAUUCCAAGAUCAGGAUACGAUUAGCACUCGCCCUUUCUGUGGUAAU